ensembl:lncRNA
GGACCAUGAAGAGGUGGCUCCAGCUGGCAUCAGAUCAAGAGUGUGGGUGCAAGAGAAGUCUUUUGCAAAAAGAAGCUACCAGGAAUCCUGAAGAAGGACUAGCGCAUUGGAGCGGUCGUGCUGCACGUGGGGGCAAACAUCAGCGUGCUUACUUGAAGACGAUGAGGCAGAGCAGCAUCGGAGAGACAGUUCGCUCCAUUCUCCAAAGAAUCGUGGAGAACAGUCUGUAAUAUAUUGCCGAACAAGCACAUGGACGUGAAUAUACUGUUGCCGGUUGCAGAGAGGCCAUCGGCAGCUACCUAAAAAAUGCCCCAGGCAGGAAAAGUGGCAAGAAACAUAUUAUGAGUGUUUAUGAUGAAGCAGAGCUACGUGGGAUCUCCAGUGCGUCCUGCAAGAAUUGGGCCUGAGUCCAGUUCAGAUUCAAUUUUGUAAUCUCAUUCCUCUCCCUUGCGUGACAGCCUCCAAACAGUACAAUUCUAAUGAGCUUGAAUAUACGGGGAAUUCCAUUGGGUUUGAUGUCUGACUAAUUAAAGACCCACCUCUUCUAUGAACACCUAACCAACUCAUAAUAAAAAAAAAAUAUAAAAAAAAAAAAUGCACUUACACCUCUAGUCUGCACUUUGCUUCUUCUAGAAUUCAAUGAAUAGAUCUUGUAUGGUAGCUGCUCUUGUAUUGUUCUCUGCUUGAUAUAUCGCUUUGCUUGUAUCUUUCUUAUUUGUAAGUCGCUUUGGAUAAAAGCGUCUGCUAAGUGAAUGUAAUGUAAAUGUAAUAAAUUGUUUUCUUUGAUUAGCAAUACAUAUGUACUAUAUCUGGCUGUUUUGUGUGUUACAAUAUUGAAUGUCAUUUUUCAGCUAUUCACUUUGUCUGCAUUUACUAAAAUUCAUGCAUGUUUAUUAAAAAUAUUCACGGAGUUUGUUAAACUAUA